UGGGGAAUUUUGCACAAUGGGGGAAACCCUGAUGCAGCGACGCCGCGUGAUUUAGAAGGCCUUCGGGUUGUAAAAAUCUUUUUUACGGGAUGAAAAUGACAGUACCGUAAGAAUAAGGUCCGGCUAAAUACGUGCCAGCAGCCGCGGUAAUACGUAUGGACCGAGCGUUGUACGGAAUCAUUGGGCGUAAAGGGUACGUAGGCGGCCUAGUAAGUUAGAAGUGAAAUAAUAUAGCUCAACUAUAUAAAGCUUUUAAAACUGCUAGGCUUGAGAGAUGGAAGGGACAGUCGAAUUCCUAGUGUAGCGGUGAAAUGCGCAGAUAUUAGGAAGAAUACCGGUGGCGAAGGCGACUUUCUGGUCAUCAUCUGACGCUGAGGUACGAAAGCGUGGGUAGCAAACAGG
rnacentral:rRNA from 1 species